UUGGGUAACAUAAUUAUUUCAAAUUUAUGUCGAUAAUUAUACAUUUUCUAAUUGUAGGUAGUCAUUUGAUUACAUUUAUAAAUUCAAAUUGUAAUUUUAAAAGUGAAAACAUCAACUAAUUUUUAGACUAAUAAUUGAGGUCGAUUCUAGUAAAAAUUGAAUACCUGUUUCUUUCAUGACUUCUUAGAACAUCAACUAUCUAAUACUUGUUCAGAAUUUGGCAUCUUUUUUCUAGCCUGCUUUAUUGCAUUCCUCUCUAAUUUAUUAGAUAUUUUCAUAACCAUUAUUCUCCACAUCGUGCAUCCACUUGGAAGAAGAGUAUUUUUAUCCACAUAAAAAUGUUCACUUUUGCUAACUUGGACCUUCAUACUUUUUUGUUGGUUUAAGUUAGCAAACCUAUAUAUAUAGGAUUUGGAUUAAUAUAUAUAGGAUGGAUUCGUUGACUUGAUAAGUAACUCUUUAGACUUACUCCUAAUUUUGACCAUUGAUUCUAAUAUUAAUUCAUGGCUAUGAUUAAUCACCUAAUGAUGUCUAUCAUAAUAUUUUUUUAUACUCGUGCAACACUCAUGAGAAACAAAUCAAUUUUAGCAAGAAAAACAACCCAUACAUAGUCAAUUUUGGCAAAUCAAUUAUCUAAAACAACAAAAUUUGGCAAAUCAACUUUUAUCUAUAAGUAAUUUAUAACAUCUAAACUUCCAUCAUCUAAAAGUUAAAAAUUGAUGUCUAAUUAGUUAUUGAAGUAAUCGAUAUAAAAUUCCAUCGUCUAAAAAUAGUUAAUAUCAAUAUUAGAUGAAUCGGUUGCCUAAUAGCUUCAAAUAAUUGGCUACUUCACUGGAAGGUUGAAUAUUGUUGAAUCAUAUUAUUGGCAUCCACAAGGGAUGUCUUCAAUUGAAAUGGGUUGUUUAACCUAAAAAAUUAUUACACGCUUAACGUUGAUUAUAUGAUAUUGAUGACAUUGAUCUAUUUGUGGGUGUCGAUUGAUACUUUUUUUUAAAAAAAAGAUAUGGAUUGAUAAUUUGAUGAUAAGAGAAGUCAAUUAUUUUACGGUCUCAAGAGUGCUUGCAGAUUGCAAAGGAAGAAGAUUGUGAAGGAAGAAGGAGUAU
rnacentral:lncRNA from 1 species